CGGACGGGUGAGUAAUGUCUGGGAAACUGCCCGAUGGAGGGGGAUAACUACUGGAAACGGUAGCUAUACCGCAUAACGUCGCAAGACCAAAGAGGGGGACCUUCGGGCCUCUUGCCAUCGGAUGUGCCCAGAUGGGAUUAGCUAGUAGGUGGGGUAACGGCUCACCUAGGCGACGAUCCCUAGCUGGUCUGAGAGGAUGACCAGCCACACUGGAACUGAGACACGGUCCAG
rnacentral:rRNA from 1 species